CGUAAGGUCAGAGCAUAUACGGAUCAUGUAUACGAAGUGUCAAAUAAGUAAUAAGAAUGACAGCUAGUGAUUGAAAGGUAAUCGGACAUCGCAUUAAAUCAGCGAGUCGCGUGGUUGCAAACUGUUGAUUCUGUGCCUUUCUACUAGCAGACAAGUAGAUGAUGUUGAAUUAUUUUCAGCAUUUAAUAUCUGCUUUCAUGUGCCUAAUUUAUCAACCCCUGAUCAUCUGUUAAACAUGUUGGAAGAAGUUGAUCUCGCCUCAGAAAUGGCUUUCUUGGAUGCAAAGCUUCAAGGGAAACGGUUAAGUUAUUAAAAUCCUUAUUUUCCUUAUUCAGACAUCGGACAAUAUAUGUGAUAUUAUCUAGCGUAUAUGACACUGUAUUCAUCGGUGUAUUAAGAAAUUGCUCUGCCUAAUAGAUAUGGCACGUCAGGAACCAAGUUACAGAGUCGCAAAAUUCUUUUGGAAAGAGAAAACUGGAAGAAGAAGGCUUCUGAGCAUAGCUUGUUUUGAGUUUAGAUCGCUCAAGCUGAAGCAACUUUGAUCAUCCCCCAAAACGAACGUAUUCUCAGAUUGUAGUAAUUUAAAUAGAGAAAUUUAUAGCUUCUGUGUAUAAGUGAGAGAUAUAAUCAGUGAUAUCUCUAAAUCUCCUCUGUGUUACAAUGAGUUGUUGUGACAGAUAGAAAAUAGAUAAUAUCGCUUAGAUUGUGAUGCAUGUCUGAAGACACGUAAUUAACUCUGUCAAGUACUACAUUAUUACAGAUAUUUAAACAAAUGUUAUCAGUUUUGUAAAUCACAGAGGUGAAUAUCAUAUUUUCGUAUAAUAUUUUUAUAUAUAACAAGUAACUUUUAUGUCAUCUUAAUUUGAUUUAAUUUAAUUUAUUUUGAUUAACUCUAGAAAUUCAAUUUCUUGAUUUUACAUACUUUCAACGGCUUAAGACUCCUAAGUGCUCGCUGCGACCAUGUUAGAUCGUGACAUCAGAAAUGACACGCUGAGAAUCUUUGCAUGCUAUUUUUAAAUAAAAAUAUUUAAGUAAAAGAACACUUCAGAUCGCUUUAAUACACUUGUAAAAUGUUCUGAAAACUACUCUUUUCCCUUGACAGUUAAUAAACAGCUGUAAAAUGAAUAUGAUACAAAGCCUAGUCAUGCAAGCUUAUUGAGCAGCGCAUGACUAGGUUUCGUAUCACAUUCAUUUUACGGCUAUUUAUUAACUUUCGAGGGAAAAGGAUAGUUUUCUGAACAUUUUAUAAAACGGUCUAAAGUAUUUUUUUUUUUAAUCCAAAUAUCUUUUUAUUUUAAAAUAACACGUAAGAAUUCUCAGUGUGUCAUUUCUCGCCUCUGACGUUACGAUCUAACAUGACCCAAGAGCUUAACAAAUUUAUUUGUUGGAUUUACUUGCAUUUGGAAGUAAUAAAAUUUAUUUCAACUUAAACAAAUAUCCAAUUACUGCUUAACCCUCCACCUGCAUACGUUUUUUUUUUACCUUCGCAAUCCAUACGUGCGUCUGUCGCAUCCGACGUUAUUUUCUCUACCUUAAAGUAUUUUAAAAAAUCUGAAUAGUUCAC